GACGAACGCUGGCGGCGUGCUUAACACAUGCAAGUCGAACGGAAAGGCCCCUUUGGGGGUACUCGAGUGGCGAACGGGUGAGUAACACGUGAGUAACCUGCCCUUGACUUCGGGAUAACUUCAGGAAACUGGGGCUAAUACCGGAUAGGAAUCCUUGCUGCAUGGUGGGGGUUGGAAAGCUUCGGCGGUUUUGGAUGGACUCGCGGCUUAUCAGCUUGUUGGUGGGGUAGUGGCUUACCAAGGCUUUGACGGGUAGCCGGCCUGAGAGGGCGACCGGCCACAUUGGGACUGAGAUACGGCACAGACUCCUACGGGAGGCAGCAGUGGGGAAUAUUGCACAAUGGGCGGAAGCCUGAUGCAGCAACGCCGCGUGCGGGAUGACGGCCUUCGGGUUGUAAACCGCUUUCAGCAGGGGCGAAGCUUUUGUGACGGUACCUGCAGAAGAAGCACCGGCUAACUACGUG
rnacentral:rRNA from 1 species